rnacentral:miRNA from 1 species
UGAGGCUAAACUCUGCUGCCCGGA